rnacentral:rRNA from 1 species
AACGAACGCUGGCGGCAUGCCUAACACAUGCAAGUCGAACGAGACCUUCGGGUCUAGUGGCGCACGGGUGCGUAACGCGUGGGAACCUGCCCUUAGGUUCGGAAUAACUCCCCGAAAGGGGUGCUAAUACCGGAUAAUGUCUUCGGACCAAAGAUUUAUCGCCUUUGGAUGGGCCCGCGUUGGAUUAGCUAGUUGGUAGGGUAAAAGCCUACCAAGGCGACGAUCCAUAGCUGGUCUGAGAGGAUGAUCAGCCACACUGGGACUGAGACACGGCCCAGACGCUUACGGGAGGCAGGAGUGGGGAAUAUAGGACAAUGGGCGAAAGCCUGAGCAAGCAAUGCCGCGUGAGUGAUGAAGGCCGUAGGGUUGUAAAGCUCUUUUACCCGGGAUGAUAAUGACAGUACCGGGAGAAUAAGCUCCGGCUAACUCCGUG